rnacentral:misc_RNA from 1 species
GAUGAAGAACGUAGUGAAAUGCGAUACUUGGUGUGAAUUGCAGAAUCCCGUGAACCAUCGAGUCUUUGAACGCAAGUUGCGCCCGAAGCCAUCAGGUUGAGGGCACGUCUGCCUGGGCGUCACAUAUCGUUGCCCAAUGCCUAUUGCAGUGCAAUAGGAAUUUCUAGGGCGAAUGAUGGCUUCCCGUGAUCGUUGUUGCCUCGCGGUUGGUUGAAAAUCGAGUCCUUGGUAGGGUGUGCCAUGGUAGAUGGUGGUCGAGUUAGAACGAUACCGAUCAUGUGCAUGCUCCCCAAAAUAUGGCCUCUAUGACCCACACGCGUCUUUUGACGCUCAUGACGAGACCUCAGGUCAGGCGGGGCUACCCGCUGAAUUUAAGCAUAUCAAUAAGCGGAGGA